rnacentral:rRNA from 1 species
UAGGGAAUCUUCCACAAUGGACGAAAGUACUGAUGGAGCAACGCCGCGUGUGUGAUGAAGGGUUUCGGCUCGUAAAACACUGUUGUAAGAGAAGAAUGGCAUUGAGAGUAACUGUUCAAUGUGUGACGGUAUCUUACCAGAAAGGAACGGCUAAAUACGUGCCAG